UCCUCUUUGGCUGCCCCUUGCUCCCUGUGCUCUCGGCAUGAUGCUCUGCACUGAAAGGCUUGAAAACAUCCCGCCCUGGUGCAAUCACUGCCCUCUCCCUUGCCCUGCAUCUCAUGCAGCCUGGUCCCGAGCCCUGAUGCUCACCCAAUGCGCCGAGCUGAACCUCCUCACGACGACGGCGGGCCCGAAGGAGCGCGCUGGGUUCAUGGAGCAGCCGGUGAAGUAGAUCUGUCGGUGUGGAAAGGAGACCAAGGAGCCUGGGAUGGAUGCCAUCCUUCCCCACAUCACCAUGGACAAGGAGCCCUGCUAUGUCCCGUUGGCUCUCCCAAUGCAGCUCCCUCUGGGACCGACCGCAGGGGGGUUAUUUUGGGGGAGCUCUGUCCCAGCAGGACCCUCUGCCUGGC